UACGUAGGGUGCAAGCGUUAAUCGGAAUUACUGGGCGUAAAGCGUGCGCAGGCGGUGAUGUAAGACAGGUGUGAAAUCCCCGAGCUUAACCUGGGAACUGCAUUUGUGACUGCAUUGCUGGAGUGCGGCAGAGGGGGAUGGAAUUCCGCGUGUAGCAGUGAAAUGCGUAGAUAUGCGGAGGAACACCGAUGGCGAAGGCAAUCCCCUGGGCCUGCACUGACGCUCAUGCACGAAAGCGUGGGGAGCAAACAGG
rnacentral:rRNA from 1 species